rnacentral:lncRNA from 10 species
AAUAAAGUGCCCUGGUUUGCCCUGGACGAAAACCAACAGUGUUUUCUAGAUGCGAGUUAAAACUGGGACUUUCCCGGGCAAAUCAGGAUGAAUUGGUCAUCCUAGCUGAUUAGAGUGUGGGAGUGGGAUGGUUUGGGGGUCUUUUAUAAGCUGCCGUGUUUCAACUGACUAUUGGGUGGGUGAUUGUUUGCACACUUGGGUCAUUCUACCUGCUGGCUCAGGUGACUGAGACCCUUGAACUCCAGUAGGUCCAUGAGCUCUUCCUCUUACUCCUAUGUACCCUGGUUUCUCUGGGCACAAUGCCCAGAGACCAGCCUCGAGGGAAGACCACUGCUCCCAACAAUCCUCCUGGCUUACUUGCCACCAUGCCACUUCCCCUACGUAACGAACCAUUGUUGGGACUAAAGUACAUCCCUUCAGGAAGAAAACAGCAGCUCUCUACUUUGCAUCAGAGUUCAGACCUGCCCCUGGAAAAAAGAGCCCAGACCUCAUCAUGAAUGCUGUCCUAGGAGAAAAUGAACAGCUGGAGAAUGCUCCUGAUCAGUAGGCCUGAAGGAUGCUGGGAUACAGCCUUCAAGAUGGAGCAGCCAGGAUGCCAAGUAUCCCUCUUGCCCAGAUCUAAGGCACUUUUUCCUACUGAUCCAUAUUGGCCUCAGGAGAUGUCUCAACACAGCACCCCAGCCAAUGGAGUUGCCACAUAAGAUGAACUUGUGAUCAUCUCUAAACUAGAGAGUUAAACUCAACACUAGUAAAUGACUUUGGGUUUAUGUAUAUGUCAUGUUUUCUCCGGCAACUGCUCAGAAUCAUCUCUAAAUAUCACGUCUAUGGUUGGCAGGAGUGGCAUGUAUAAUACAAAAUGUCUGGUGGCCCUAUUGUCACAAAACCUGUAUAAAAGUAAAUUCACAAAUGGCUUUUUAGAACUGAUGACAAAAAGUUACUCGUUAUCACUUUUCUACUUAAUUUCCUAAAAGGGCAAUUUGAAAUCACACUAGGAUUCUCACAAUUUUGGUUGACACUCAAGUAAACUGCAGCUACUUAUCAAGCACUUUUGAAUGAACAUAUGAAGAAUGAAUAAAAUGAAAGCUCUCCUGUUGCCCUCAGCGUCACCAGUGUUCUGUAUUUCUUCCUGAAACCUUUCCAUUGGUUUAAAAACCUUUCUCAAGUGAAAGCAAUCUCUUUAAAAACUGCAACAUACUGCUGAUAGUUUUCGCUGUGGAAACAUUCUCUAUGCCUGCAAACCAAAUCACCCACUCUCUUUUCCUGGGAAGCACAUCUUUCUCAGAGCAGAGCUUUGCAAAAAGGGGAAGCCAAAGCUUCCAAGAGGUGAUAGUUACAGCUGCUCUCUCUUCCUGUUGCCCCAGGUGCCAAGGUGCAGAGGGGCAAGGCAGCAAGGCCUAGCCUGGGCAGAACUUGUCGGUCAUUAACUUUGCAAAUUGACUUUCUGAACAACUGUGGUUUAUUUCACUUUGGUGUAUAUCUACUCAACUCCUCUCUAGUACGUUUUCCUUCCUAACUGUGUUUGCUCUGA